rnacentral:tRNA from 1 species
UGGGGAGUCGCCAAGUGGUAAGGCACCGGAUUUUGAUUCCGGCAUUCGUAGGUUCGAUCCCUACCUCUCCAGCCA